UGCAAGUCGAACGAGCGAGAGAGAGCUUGCUUUCUCAAGCGAGUGGCGAACGGGUGAGUAACGCGUGAGGAACCUGCCUCAAAGAGGGGGACAACAGUUGGAAACGACUGCUAAUACCGCAUAAGCCCACAGGUCGGCAUCGACCAGAGGGAAAAGGAGCAAUCCGCUUUGAGAUGGCCUCGCGUCCGAUUAGCUAGUUGGUGAGGUAACGGCCCACCAAGGCAACGAUCGGUAGCCGGACUGAGAGGUUGAACGGCCACAUUGGGACUGAGACACGGCCCAGACUCCUACGGGAGGCAGCAGUGGGGAAUAUUGCACAAUGGGGGAAACCCUGAUGCAGCGACGCCGCGUGGAGGAAGAAGGUCUUCGGAUUGUAAACUCCUGUUGUUGAGGAAGAUAAUGACGGUACUCAACAAGGAAGUGACGGCUAACUACGUGCCAGCAGCCGCGGUAAAACGUAGGUCACAAGCGUUGUCCGGAAUUACUGGGUGUAAAGGGAGCGCAGGCGGGAAGACAAGUUGGAAGUGAAAUCUAUGGGCUCAACCCAUAAACUGCUUU
rnacentral:rRNA from 1 species